GAAUAAAAAAACCUCCGAAUGACACAGACAUAGACCUAACAAGUCAAAGUACUAAAAUCAUACAUUGACCCAAUUUAUUGAUCAACGGAACA
rnacentral:rRNA from 1 species